AGCGAACGCUGGCGGCAUGCCUAACACAUGCAAGUCGCACGGGGGGGCUUCGGCCUCCCAGUGGCGGACGGGUGAGGAACGCGUAGGGACCUGUCGAGGGGUGGGGGAUAACCGCGGGAAACUGCGGCUAAUACCGCAUGACGCCGCGGCGUGACAGCCGGGGCCAAAGGCGAAAGCCGCCCGCCGAGGGGCCUGCGUCCGAUUAGCUGGUUGGCGGGGUAGCGGCCCACCAAGGCGUCGAUCGGUAGCUGGUCUGAGAGGGUGAUCAGCCACACCGGGACUGAGACACGGCCCGGACUCCUACGGGAGGCAGCAGUGGGGAAUAUUGGACGAUGGGCGCAAGCCUGAUCCAGCAAUGCCGCGUGGGUGAAGAAGGUCUUCGGAUUGUAAAGCCCUUUCGGCGGGGACGAUGGUGACGGUACCCGCAGAAGAAGCCCCGGCUAACUUCGUG
rnacentral:rRNA from 1 species